rnacentral:rRNA from 1 species
GGUUUCCUACGGGGGGCAGCAGUGGGGAAUAUUGCACAAUGGGGGGAACCCUGAUGCAGCGACGCCGCGUGGGUGAAGGAGCACCUCGGUGCGUAAAGCCCUCUCGGCAGGGAAGAAAAGCGAACAGGUUCGCCUGGACGGUACCUGACUAAGAAGCCCCGGCUAACUACGUGCCAGCAGCCGCGGUAAUACGUAGGGGGCAAGCGUUAUCCGGAUUCACUGGGGGGAAAGGGAGCGUAGACGGCGACGCAAGGCUGGAGGGAAAGCCCGGGGCCCAACCCCGGGACUGCUCUGGAAAC